UACGUAGGGUGCGAGCGUUAAUCGGAAUUACUGGGCGUAAAGCGUGCGCAGGCGGUUUUGUAAGCCAGGGGUGAAAUCCCCGGGCUUAACCUGGGAAUGGCAUUUGGGACUGCAAGGCUUGAGUGCGGCAGAGGAGACUGGAAUUCCUGGUGUAGCAGUGAAAUGCGUAGAUAUCAGGAGGAAUACCGAUGGCGAAGGCAGGUCUCUGGGCUGACACUGACGCUCAUGCACGAAAGCGUGGGGAGCAAACAGG
rnacentral:rRNA from 1 species